rnacentral:snRNA from 1 species
AAAAUUGUAAAAAAAGAAAAAAAGGUUCGCCCAGGGCGAGGCUCAGCCAUUGCACUGCGGUUGUCUUGACCCCUGUGAAUUCCCCAAAUGCGGCAAUCUCAACUGCAUAAUUUGUGGUAGUGGGGGACUGCGUUCGCGCUCUCCCCUC